rnacentral:rRNA from 1 species
UGCCAGCAGCCGCGGUAAUACAGAAGCCUCAAGCGUUACCCGGAUUUACUGGGCGUAAAGGGUGUGUAGGCGGUGUGAUUAGUCUUUCGUUAAAACUCUGGGCUCAACCCAGAGAUCGCGGAGGAAACGGUCAUACUAGAGAAUGUGAGGGGUCUAGGGAACUCUCGGUGUAGGGGUGAAAUCCGUUGAUAUCGAGGGGAACACCAAAAGCGAAGGCACUAGACUGGCACAUUUCUGACGCUCAGACACGAAAGCGUGGGUAGCGAACGGGAUUAGAUA